GUUUUAGCUGACGACACUCGAGAGCGCCAAUUUUCCUAGAUUCGAUUUUGUGGUUUGGAACUGUGGUUUUGGAAUCCAGAGUAGUCGCCUCGUUCUAGUAUCCAAUUGCUCCAGCACCAACUGGUGAAAAGACCAUCAUUCUUCUACUCAGUUGCAUUUGAAGCUUUGUCAAAAACCAGACACAAUUGGAGACACAGGUUCUUCUAUCAAGGCCUUGACUGGAAUGGCAUAUUUUCAGAUAUGACCACAUUGCUUUGAGGAAAUGAGGCUGAUGUUGCAGAGCUGAUAAAACCCCCACAGAAAGGCCAGCCUACCUCUGGCAGUUGCAACUAUGAUUUCCCUAUGAGCACUACUUUUGCUGCAUCCUGUAAGUUUUGCCAUGAGAGGAUACAGUGAGAAGAGGGUGAUCUGUAAACCCAGAAGAGUGCCCUCCCCAGACACUGGAACUUCUAACACUUUGAUCUUGAAUUUCCCAACCUCCAGAACUAUGAGAAAUAAAUGUUUGUUCUUUAUGCCACCCAACAUUUGAUAUUCUUGUACAGCAGCCUGAAUUAAGAUAGUCACAGUGCGUAAUGUUUUGUUAUUUUAUUCAGUUUGCUAAUAUUUUGUGGAGGACCUUUGAAUCUAUGUUCAUGAAAGCUAUUGGUAUGUAGUUUUUUGUUUUUUUGUUGUUGUUUUUAUUUUUUUGUACUGGUUUUGAUAUUUGGGUGAUACUAGCCUCACAGUGAGUUGGGGACUGUUCUUUCUUUCUGGAAAAGAUUGUGAAAAUGCAUUGUUAUCUCUUUGAAUGUUUUGUAGAAUUCUGCAGUGAAACCAUCUGGGCCUGGGAUUUUUUAGGAGAUUUUUUAAAAUAAAUUCAGUUUCUUUAAUGGUUAAUAUAGGGCUACCUAAAUUAUCUAUUUCAUCUUGGUUGUGUUUGGUAGUUUGUGGUUCCUCAAAAGGCUUCAUUACUUCUAAGUUUUCAGUAAAAAAACUGUUUUAGAGUAUAAAACUUUGUGUAAUAUUUUCUUAUUAUCUUAGUGGCUACAGGAUAUGAAGUGACAUCCCCUGUUUUAUUCCUCAUAUUGGUGAUAUCUGUUUUCUCUUAAUUUUUGUGACUCUUGAAAGAAGUUUGUACAUUUUAUUGAUUUAAAAAAGAAACAGGCCGGGUGCGGUGGCUCAUGCCUGUAAUUCCAGCACUUUGGGAGGCCGAGGCAGGCAGAUAACGAGGUCAGGAGAUCAAGACCAUCCUGGCUAACACGGUGAAACCCCGUCUCUACUAAAAAUACAAAAAAUUAGCCAGGCAUGGUGGCGGGCGCCUGUAGUCCCAGCUACUCGGGAGGCUGAGGCAGGAGAAUGGUGUGACCCUGGGAGGCGGAGCUUGCAGUGAGCCAAGAUCGUGCCACUCCAUUCCAGUCUGGGCGACACAGUGAGACUCCGUCUCAAAAAAAAAAAAGAAAAGAAAAAAAAGAAAGAAAUCGUCUUUUACUUCAUUAAAUUUUCUUCUCUGCUAUUUCUUAUUUCUAAUUUUAUUAAUUAUUGUUCUGAUCUCUAUAUUAUUUCCUUCCUUUUUUUUAAGAAAGAGAGACUCUCACUCUGUCACCCAGGCCGGAGUGCAGUGGUGCGAUCAUAGCUCACUGCAGUCUUGAACUCCUGGGCUCAAGCAGUUCUCCUAUCUCAGAGUAGCUGGGACUACAGGACACACCACCAUGCCUAAUUUUUAAAAUGUUUUGUAGAAAUGAGGUCUCGCUAUGCUGCCCAAGCUGGUCUUGAAAUCCUGGCUCAAGUGAUCCUCCCUGCCUUGGCUUUCCUAAGUGCUGGGAUAAUAGGUGUGAGCCACCAAGCCUGACCUCCUUCUUCUUGAUUGCUUUGGGUUUAUUUUCCUCUGCUUUCUCUAGUGCCUUAUGGUAGGAGCUUAGAUUGACUUGAGUCCUUUUCUCAUGUUUAAUGUAAACAUUUAAUGCUACAGUUUUGCUCUCAAAAAUCCUUUAGCUGUAUCCAACAUGUUUUGGUAUGUUGUAUUUUCAUAUUCCUUAAGUUUCAUUUUUAACUUGAGAUUUUCCUCUUUGUCCCAGCAAUGAUUUAAAAUUUAUGUUGUUCAAUUUCUCUGUGUUUAGAGAGUUUCCUGUUGUCUUCGUUAUUGAUUAUCUGUUUGAUUCCAAUAUUGUCAGGAAACAUGCUACGUAUACUUUCAUUUAUUUUGCAUUUGUUGAAGUUGUUGUAUGGCUCAGGACAUGGUCUAUCUUGAUGAAUCUUCCAUGAACAAUUGAAAAAAAAGUGUACUCUGCUUAUUGGGUGGAGUGAUGUGUCACUCCAUGAUUGGUUGAUUAUAUUAGUCAGAUCUUCUAUAUUCUCGCUAAUUUACUGUCAGUAGCUUUGUCACUUGCUGAAAGAUCAUGUUGCAUUUUCCAAUAAUAAUUGUGGAGUUGUCUGUUUUUCCUUUUAAGUCUAUCAGUUUUGCUUCAUGUAUUUUAAGACUGUUUUUUGGUUUAUACACAUUUGAGAUCAUUAAGUUUUCCUUGUCAAUUGAAUUUUUCAUUAACAUGUAUUAUCUCUCUCUGUCAUCUCUACCCUAGUAGGUUUUUUUUUUUUGCUUUUAUUUAUUUAUUUAUCUAUUUUUAAAUUUUUUUUUGAGAUGGAGUCUUGCUCUGUUUCCUAGGCUGGAGUGCAGUGGUGUGAUCUCGGCUCAUUGCAACCUCCGCCUCCUGGGUUCAAGCGAUUCUCCUGUCUCAGCCUCCUGAGUAGCUGGGACUACAGGUGCCCACUACCAUGCCCGGCUAGUUUUUGUAUUUUUAGUAGAGAUGGGCUUUCACCAUAUUGGCCAGGCUGGUCUCGAACUCCUGACCUCGUGAUCCGCCCACCUCAGCCUCCCAAAGUGCUGGGAUUACAGGCGUGAGCCACCGAGCCCCACCCCAUGCAUAUUUUUUAGACAGUAGGGAGAAACCUUUUACAGAUAAGUUACAAACAAAGAAAAGGCAAAUAAACAAUUUUGUACAAGAAAUUUAACACAUUCUGUACAAGUUGUUCACUUUGCUGUCAUCAUUUGUACAAACUCUUCAUAGAUCAUUUGACCAUCACCAUCAAUAUGUGGUUACCUGAUCAUUUCAUCAACCUCGUCAUCUGUUAAAUUCUCUCCAAGGUUUGUCAUCACAUGGUGAAGUUCUGUUGCACUAAUAUAGCCAUUGCCAUCCUUAUCAAACACACAGAAUGCAUCUCUAAUUUCUUCUUCACUGUCUGUGUCUUUCAUUUUUCUUGCCAUCAUUGUUAGAAAUUCAGGGAAGUCAACUGUGCCAUUACCAUCAGCAUCUACUUCAUUAAUCAUGUCCUGUAACUCUGCUUCUGUGGGAUUCUGCCCAAGAGACCUCAUUACAGUUCCUGAUUCCUUGUUGUUAUAGUUCCAUCACCAUCUUUGUUAAAUAGUGAAAAAGCUUCUUUGAAUUCUGCAGUCUGCCUUUCAGUCAGUUGGUCAGCCAUGCUGCAAGCGCUACCAGUUUCUGAGAUGUGACCACGCAGCCACUCAGCUUGCUCACUCGCUCGCUCCACUCGGACUAAUUCCUAUACAUUAUUUUUUUUGAGUCGGAGUUUUGCUCUUGUUGCACAGGCUGGAGUGCAGUGGUGCAAUCUCAGCUCACUGCAAUCUCUGCCUCUCAGGUUCAAGCAAUUCUCCUGCUUCAGCCUCCCCAAGUAGCUGGGAUUACAGGCAUGUGCCAUCAUGCCAGGCUAAUUUUGUAUUUUUUUAGUAGAGAUGGGGUUUCACCAGGUUGGUCAAGUUGGUCUCGAACCCUGACCUCAGGUAAUCCACCUGCCUCAGCCUCCCAAAGUGCUGGGAUUAUAGGCGUGAGCCACCGUGCCUGGCCUAUAAUUUUUGUUUCAAUAAUCAAAUAUGAUUUAUAAAAUUCAUGGUUUAUGAAACAUACCAUUGUAUGAUUUAUAAAACAUGCUUUUGUAUAUGUUUGUAUUUCUGCUCUUUCUGUUGUUCCUUUUUCCUUCCUAAUCCUCUGAGAUAUUUGAUCAUUUAUUUUCUAUUUAAAGAACUUUCUGUAGCCAAUCUUUAAGGAUAAGUCUGCAAGCAACAAAUUCUUUUAUUUUUCAUUCAUCUGAGAAUUCAUUCCUAGAGAAUAAUUUUGGUAAAUGUGAACUUUUCAGUAGAAAGUUAUUUUCUUUUAGCAAUUAAAAAAUGCUGUACCAGCUGGACGAGGUGGCUCAGGCCUGUAAUCCCAGUGACUCCACAGUCCAAGGUGGGAAAAUCAUUUAAGGCCAGGAGUUUGAGGCCAGCCUGUGCAACAUAGCAAGAUCCCGUCUCAGGGAGGGGGAGAGGGAAACUUAGUUGGGCAUGGUGGUGCUCACCUGUAGUCCCAGCUACUCAGGAAGCUGAGGUGGGAGGAUCACUUGAGCCCAGAAGUUGGAGGCUGCAGUGAGGCAUGAUUGAGCCACUUCACUCCAGCCUGGGUGACAGGGUGAGACCCACUUUGUUUAAAAAAAAAAAAUAGCUGUGCCACUUCCUUCUGGUCUCCAUGGUUUCAGAUGAGAAAUUGUCAUUCAAAUAGAUAUUACCCUAUAGAUAAUGUGUCAUUUUUCUUUGGUUUUUAAGAUCUUUUCUUUAAGAAGUUUAACUGAUUAAAUUUGCACUUAGUUUUUAAGAAGUAAUUUUUUUUUUUUUUUUUUUUUUUUUUGAGAUGGAGUCUUGCUCUGUCACCAAGGCUGGAAUGUGGUGGCGGGAUCUCGGCUCCACUGCAAGCUCCGCCUCCUGGGUUCAUACCAUUCUCCUGCCUCAGCCUCCCAAGUAGCUGGGACUACAGGUGCCCGCCACCCAUGCCCGGCUAAUUUUUUGUAUUUUUAGUAGAGACGGGGUUUCACCAUGUUAGCCAGGAUGGUCUUGAUCUCCUGACCUCGUGAUCUGCCCGCCUUGGCCUCCCAAAGUGUUGGGAUUACAGGCGUGAGCCACUGCUCCUGGCAAAGAAGUUAAUUUUGAUGUGUCUUGGAAUGGAUUUCUUUGGGCUUAACCUGUUGGGAUUUGCUCAGAUUCUUGAAUCUGUAGUUUUCUGUUUUUCAACAAAUUUGGGAAGUUUCAGCAAUUAUUUUUUCAAGUACUCCUUCAGUUUCACUCUCUUCCACCACCACUCUCAUGGAACUUUGGUGAUGCAAAUGUUGGCUAUUUUGUUAUUAUCCUACAAGUCUCUGAGCCUCUGUUCAUUUUUUCCUGUUUUUCUCUCUGUUGUUCAAUUUGAGUGAAUUCCACUGAUUGUCCUGAAAGACUCUGAUGCUAUCCUCUGUUUUGUCCAUUCUACUAUUGCUGUUUUAUUUCUGUUAGUUUAUCUUUUGGUUUUGGUUUUGUUUUAGAGAUGAGGUCUCACUAUGUUGCCCAGGCUGGAGUGUAGUGGCUAUUCACAGGCAUGAUUAUAGUACACUACAGCUUCAAACUCCUGGGUUAAAAUGAUCCUCCUGCAUCAGCCUCCUGAAUAGCUAGGACACAGGUGCAUGCCACCACACCCAGCUCUAUUUUUCAGCGUUAUAGGUUCCACUUAGUUCUUUUUUAUUAUUUCAAUUUAUUUGCUGAGAUUUUUCGCUUUUUUUCCCAUCGUUUUUAGAGAAUUUUUAAUAGGCUAUUAAAGCAUUUUUAUGAAGGCUGUUUUGAAGUGCUUGCCAAAUAAUUCCAAUACCUGAUUCAUCUGUAUUGGUAUCAGUUGAUUGCCUUUUUCUCAUUCAAGUUGUGACUUUCUUGGUUCUUGGUAUGACUGAUACUUUAUAUUAUAUGUUGGACAUUUUCUUUGUAAUAUUAGGAGACAGUAAUAUUUUUUGAUCAUCUAGUUUAUGCUAAACAUUGUAUUAUGUGCUAUCUUACAUUAUUUUAAUGAAACUAAGAUCUCUGAAAAUAUAUUUUGCUGAGAUUUGCACAAUUACUGCAUUUCUACAAAAAUAAUAAUUUUUGGUUUACACUUUUCUACCAACAGUGUGUUUUAGGAUUUCCAUUUAAUAUAGAACUGAGCAUAUUAGUUAAUCAUUCAAUAAUUACAUGUUCCAAGCAUGAGAAGUAUAGGACAGAAUCCAUUACUGAAUUGUUCGACUUGGUGCAAUGGCUCACAUAUCUGUUUUCCUUGAGUUCUUUUUUGAAUAAAAUAUCCUCAUGUGAAACUUAAGAGCCUUUGAGAAAUACUGAGCAAAAUGAAAUUUGGAAAGUAAUAUAUGAUAUUAUAGUAGAAAUUAUGUUCAAUAUUUCAUUACAUUUAUAAUAAAAAUAACAUAGUUGAUCAUCCUCAAAUCUAUGAAAUUCAUCAUAAACACAUCAUAAAUGUCUUUUCUGUGCUCUCUGCACAUUGUCAUUUCAUAAAAAUGAACAAUACUUAGACGUCCACACCAGUGAUACAUAGUUAAUGAUAUGCUGACAGUUUAAAGACACAGUAGGGCUGGGCAUGGUGGCUCACGCCUAUAAUCCCAGCACUUUGGGAGGCCAAGGUGAGAGGAUCACCUGAGGUCGGGAGUUCGAGAUCAGCCUGACCAACAUGGAGAAAACCUGUCUCUACUAAAAAUACAAAAUUAGCCGGGCAUGGUGGUGCAUGCCUAUAAUCCCAGCUACUCGGGAGGCUCAGGCAGGAGAAUCGCUUGAACCCAGGAGGCAGACGUUGCGGUGAGCUGAGAUCAUGCCACUGCACACCAGCCUGGGCAACAAGAGUGAAACUCUGUCUCAAAAUAAAUAAAUAAAUAAAGACACAGUAGUACAUGGAGGCCAGAGGCACAUGCAGAUCCCCACCAAAUACACACAAAAUUAAACAUUGGAAUAUGUAUGACAGCCUUUAAAAAAUUCAUUUCCAAAGAAAAUAAAUACAAAUCAGAGCAGAUAUGUAAUCUUUUUUUUUCUUCUAGAGACAGGGUCUUGCUCUGUUGCCCAAACUGGAAUGCAGUGAUGGAAUCAUAGCUCAGUGUAAUCUCUACCUCCUGGGAUCAAGAGAUCCUUCCACCUCAGCCUCCAGACUAGUUGGGACUACAGGCAUGCACCACCAUGCCCGGCUAAUUUUAAGUUUUGUUAUAGACAUGGGGUCUUGCUGUAUUGCCUAGGCUGGUCUUGCACUCCUACCCUCAUGUGAUCCUCCUGCCUUGGGCUCCUAAAAUGCUGGGAUUGCAGGCAUGAGCCACUGUGCCUAGCUGAGAUAUGUAAUCUUGAAAAGGAAAAAUGGGUUCCACUUUAUAUUAAUCUGAUUGAAGAAAUGAUAUAACCACAGAAAUAAUGCAAAGGAGAAAAGGGUACAAGAAAGUAUGUAGCAACCAGAGGAGGGUAGGAGGAGCUCCAGCACAGAAGCCUAGGAAAGACUUGGCCAUGCAAUUAUGGACCUUUAGAUCUGGCUCUGUCCAGAAAAACUGUCCAUUCGGGUCUCCCCCUACAGUGAAGACAAAUGAACCAGCUUCUCACACCACCUUGACAGUGGUCAUUAAGAUCAUCCAAAUUGCUCUGUGAAUUCUAUGUCCAUGUCCACCAAGCAAGCUUCUGACAGUAAUUCAUCUCUCAUGAAAAUUAGGCCACAAGAAUAUGUGCUAAUCAGGGAUCACCAGUAUCUAGCUAAUUGAUAUGAAAGUUAUAUUUUAUAAUUGUAAAUUAAUAUAUCAGUAUCAUAUUUUUUGUAUAUUUGAUUCUUAUUGAUUUGGUUAAUAUCGGGGGAACCAGCCCCUGAUAAUUCAAUGUAAGUUCUUUUCUGUUUUCCCUAGGUGUUGGCCAGAUUGAGAAAUAAAGGGAAAGAGUACGAAAGAGAGAAAUUUUAAAGCUGGGUGUCCGGGGGAGACAUCAUAUGUCAGCAGGUUCCGUGAUGCCCCUCAAGCCACAAAACCAGCAAGUUUUUAUUAGUGAUUUUCAAAGGGGAGGGAGUGUAUGGGUCACAGAGAUCACAUGCUUCACAAGGCAAUAAAAUAUCACAAGGCAAAUGGGGGCAGAGCGAGAUCACAGGACCAGGGCAAAAUUAAAAUUGCUAAUGAAGUUUUGAGCACGCAUUGUCAUUGAUAACAUCUUACCAGGAGACAGGGUUUGAGAGCAGAAAACCGGUCUGACUAAAAUUUACUAGGCAGGAAUUUCCUCAUCCUAAUAGGCCUGGGAGUGCUACGGGAGACCGGGGCUUAUUUCAUCCCUUAUCUGCAACCGUCUAAGACAGACACUCCCAGAGUGGCCAUUUUAGAGACCUACCCCUGGGAAUGCAUUCUCUUUCUCAGGGCUGUUCCUUGCUGAGAAAAAGAAUUCAGCGAUAUUUCUCCUAUUUGCUUUUGUAAGAAGAGAAAUAUGGCUCUGUUCCACCCAGCUCUCAGGCCGUCAGACCUAAUGGUUAUCUCCCUUGUUCCCUGAACAUCACUGUUAUCCUGUUCUUUUUUCAAGGUGCCCAGAUUUCAUAUUGUUUAAACACACAUGCUUUACGAACAAUUUGUGCAGUUAACGCAAUCAUCACAGGGUCCUGAGGCGACAUACAUCCUCAGCUUACAAAAAUGACAGGAUUAAGAGAUAAAAGACAGGCAUAGGAAAUCAUAAGAGUAUUGAUUAGGGAAGUGAUAAAUGUCUAUGAAAUCUUCACAAUUUAUGUUCAGAUAUUGCAGUAAAGACAGGCAUAAGAAAUUAUAAAAGUAUUAAUUUGGGGAACUAAUAAAUGUCCAUGAAAUCUUCACAAUUUAUGUUCUUCUGCCAUGGCUUCAGCCUGUCCCUCCAUUCGGGGUCCCUGACUUCCCGCAACAGGUUAACCUGAUUCCGUACCCAAACCCCAUCACAUCAAGGGUAGCAAUACCUGAAUAUCUAAACUUCUAAAGCAGAGAAAUAAACCUGGAACAUGGUCACUCUACCAAGAAAUUGUUACCAGACCUGUGUGGCUGGACACCUGAUUCUCCCCUGGCAAAUCUUCUAUUUCAUUCGGUCAUCAUCAAUAUUUUUUUCAUUUUCAAUUUUUAACAGUAGGCAGAUAUCUAAGUUUAACUGUCUCAAAGGUUUGAUAUAUGACUUAGGGUUGUAUAUUAUUCAGUGUUUAUUUAAAAGAAUAGAAAAGUCCAAAGACAGGUUCACAAUAAGCAAAAAUACAUACAUACAUAAAUAAGCUUGGAGACUUUUAUAAGAUUAAAAUGAAGUUCUUACAAAUACUUAAAUCAAAAUGCAGCAGGAGUUAUGACAGCAAAAUCUUCAGUCUUAUUUUUAGAGACAGGGUCUCGCUAUGUUGCCCAGACUGGACUUGAACUUCUGGGCUCAUGUGAUCCUCCCACCUCAGCCUCUUGAGUAGCUGGAAUUAUGGAUGCACACCACCAUGCCCAUCUGAAAAUCUGCAGUAUUGACACUGCACUCUAUAAUGCCCUUCCUUAUUGUUCUCUUGACAGUAUCCCCACUGUAUAUUUGUGAAGAUGGCUGAAUGUAUUGAAGUAGAUACUGCUUUUAUAACGUCAAAGCCAUUAUAAUGUCAAAGCCAUAACCAUAAGGUUAUGGGACUGUUAACUGGUGGGUAUCACAACCCUGUUUAUGAGAAAAGCAUUCAGAACUGCAUAGGGGAAGGUGUAGUGAAAUAUUUAUUAUAGGAUAUAUCUUGGAGCUGGCAUAUUCCAAGAUAGGCCAUGGAAUAUGACUCUUUUUUUUGAGAUGGAGUCUUGCCCUGUCACCCAGGCUGGAAUGGAGUGGCAUGAUCUCGGCUCACUGCAACUUCCACCUCCCGGGUUCAAGCACUUUUCUGCCUCAGCCUACAGAGUAGCUGGGAUUACAGGCACCUGCCACCAUGCCUGGCUAAUUUUUGUAUUUUUAGUAGAGACAGGGUUCCACCAUCUUGGCCAGGCUGGUCUUGAACUCCUGACCUCGUGAUCCACCCGCCUCAGCCUCCCAAAGUGUUGGGAUUACAGGUGUGACCCACCACGCCUGGCCAGGAACGUGACUCUUAGUAGUGCUUGUGACCAAAACCUACAGAAGAGAAAAUGCAGUGUAAUAUAGAAGUAACCCUUAGAAUGACUAAUCCAGUUGGAUAAAACUCUUCUCUGUUUCUGUACCUACAAUGUGAGGGGAUGGGAGGUGGGAAAAGUUUGGAAAGUACCUUAUACUGGACCUUUUCUGUAGAACUCUCAAUUUUUGUACUAUUAUCAUUUGCUAAUUUGACAUGAAAUUUAAGCAACCAGCAAUGAGGAAAUACUUAGACUGUAACAGAGCUCUUCAGAGUUCUUUGUUUUGCAACAAUCACCUUUCAAAACUUCCCUAACAACUUGGACAGACAAACCCAGUCGAAUUUACAGAUGCUUGUGGAAAGGUUAGAGAAUUUGAAAGAAAUAAAAAAGAGUUGGGAGUGAAUAUGUGUGUCUUACUGCUUCGGUUUUGUUUCCUAGCAUUUAUUGGUUCAAAUAGAUUUGUUGCUUUGCUGACUCUCUGCUAUCUUCAUAAAAGAUAAGAAAACCUCUCAGCGUCCCUCUAUAGUGUGAGAAACAUGAUUUAUAAUAACAUUAUUUCAUAAUUGAAAGUAUUGUUUCGUUGUCUGGGAAAAUGAGCGCAUCAGAAUUAACUUGUAGUUUUAGAGGCCAGUGGGUUGCUAUAACAACCAGAAAAACAAUGGUGUAAUAACACCUCUCCCUGAAAGCUGGAGAACUCACUAAAUGACGAGAGCUACAGAUGCAAGCGUUUGUCAUAUGAAUUCAAACAAGAACCAAAUACAUUCAUUUAUUUCUUUCAUGAGCACUGACUCCAUGCCUGGCACUAUGCUAGGAACUGGUGAAAUAGACGUGGUCCCUCCUGUGAUGGAGUGAACAAUCUAAUGGAGAAGACCGAUAAUAAACAGUUUAAAAAAAAAGAUAAAUGGAAUAAUUUCAGCAUGUUUAAGGCCCUUUGGUAGAGAAAGCAUUGUUCUCUGAUACUGGACAAGCAGAGAAGGGUUGCUCCAGUAUGGGACAUGGAGAAGCACCUGGUCAUAUCAUAAAUCUUGCCUUUAAGGCUAUAUGAGCUCUAGUAAAGUGAAGGAAAAAAAGAAUGGAGUCUUACAGUCUUUAUUAGUAAAAAUAAUUUAAGGGAAGAAACUGCUAACUGAAGCAUGAUCAUUUUUUACUAGAAGGGUUUAACACGUAAAUUCCCAGAAUUCUUGAAUUAGGAGGAUUCAACAUUAAAAUAAGAGUUAUUUGUGUGUUUUAAAACAGUAUUGUUUUGGGCCAGGCGCGGUGGCUCACACCUAUAAUCCCAACACUUUGGGAGGCCGGGAGGCCAAGGCAAGUGGAUCACCUGAGGUCAAGAGUCCGAGACCAGCCUGGCCAACAUGGUGAAACCCCAUCUCUACUAAAAAUACAAAAAUUAGUCGAGCGUGGUGGCACAUGACUGUAGUCCCAGCUACUCGGGGGGCUGAGGCGGGGCAAUCGCUUUAACCCAGGAGGCAGAGGUUGCAGUGAGCCGAGAUUGCGUCACUGCACUCCAGCCUGGGUGACAGAAAAAAAAAAAAGUAUUGUUUUAUUUCAGCUUUACUCAUAAUAGCCAAAAACUGGAAACAAGCAAAUAAAACCAAAUGUCCUUCAGUGGAUGAAUGAUUAAACAAACUGUGUUAUAUACAUACCAUGGAAUACUCUGGCAAUAAAAAGGAAAUGAACUUUUUUUUAAGAAUAAAAGCUUUAUUGAGAUAUAAUUCACAUACCAUAAAGUUCAUCUUUUUAAAGUUUAAAGUUCAGUUGUUUUUAGAACACUGACAAUACAAACACUACUUAGAUAAUUGUGCAAAAAUCACCAGUAAUUCCAAAACACUGUCAUUACUCCCAAAAGAAUCUCCAUAUCUAUUAGCAUUACCAUAUCUAUUAGCAUUACUCCCCAUUUCCACCUUAUUGUCCAUAUGUUCACGCCCCAGACCUAAGCAAUCCUUAAUCUAUUCUCUGUCUCUAUGGAUUUGCUGAUUCUGAAUCUCUCAUAUAAAUGGAAUCACACAAUAUGUUUCCUUCUGUUUCUGGCUUCUUUAGCUUAAUAUGCUCAAGAGUCAUCUCUGUUAUAGCAUGCAUCAGAACUCUAUUUUUUUAUGGAUAAAUAAGAUUCCAUUGCACUGAUAUUGACCUUUUGCUCAUCUAUUUGUCAGUUGAUGAGCAUUCGGGUUUUUCCUCCUUUUUGUCGGUUAUGAAUAAUGCUGCUAUGAACAUUAGUGUACCAGUUUUUUCUGUACAUAUGUUUCCAGUUCUCUUGGUUAUGUACCUAGGAGUGGAAUUGCUGAGUCAUAUGGUAUCUCUGUUAACUUUCUGAGGAACAGAAAACUGUUUUCCAAAGCCAUUGUACCAUUUUACACUCCUACCAGCAGGUAUGAGGAUUUCAGUUUUUCCACAUCCUUGCCAUCCUUGCUUUUGUCUUUUUUUGAAUUUUCAUGUCAAAGGGGUAAUGUUCCAAUGAGGUCAUAACAAGGCUUGGGGAAGGCACAUUUCACACAUGCACGUGAAACCCCAGUCAUCACGCUUAUAAACUACAAAAGGAUCUGCUUUUGCUUUUUAUUAUAGCCAUCCAAGUAGGUGUAAAGUGGUAUUUCCUUGUGGUUUCAUUUGUAUUUCCCUAAUGUGUUGAGUAUCUUUUCAUGUGCUUGUUGGUCAUUUGUCUAUCUUGUUUGAAGCAAUGUCUGUUCAAAUCUUUUCUCAAUUUUUCAGUUGGGUUAUUUGUCUUUUUAUUGUUGAAUUGUAUCAGUUCUUUACAUAUUCUAGACACAUGUCCCUUAUCAGAUAUAUGAUUUGCAAAUAUUUUCUCCCGGUGUGUGAGUUGUUUUUUUACUUUUUUUUCACUCACAUUAUGUAUGUUGAUGUUAUGAUUUGAAGCACAAAAGUUUCAUUUUGGUUAAGUCUAAUUUCUUUUGUUGAACUACUGAUUGUUUUUUAAGAAAUAAAUGCCCUGUACAUCAAGCUGUAUACAGAGUGUACUCUGAAAUAGGUCGAAUUAAAAGAAGUCCUGAUUAUGGAGAUUUUCAGUGAGCUGUUAGGUCAACUCGUGGUUAAUUCUCUGGGAAUGAGCCUUUUUGGGCUUCAAAUCUGUUCUUUUCUCUCCAGUGGCUGCUAAGCUCUACUUUCCACAACUACUAUAAAUGUGAAGCUAUUGAGUUUCAAGGCUUCCAUGGAACUGGGGAGAGGUGUAUAGGAUUAGAGCAAGUUAAAACACUAUAGGCUUUCCGUUCUUACUGAGAUUCAGCUGUUUUUCUUAGGUAAACAUUCCUUGGAAUGUGGCAAGCUUUUGUUAAUUUCCACAAUUCUAAUAAGUUUAUGUCAACAGCUUUUGCUAAUGUCCUCAUUGCUUUUAUGGAGGAGCAGAUUCUCGGUGUGACAUUACUGUACCAUUUGGAAUGUCUACUGAUAUACACGAUAACUUGGAUAAAUCUCAAGAGAAUUAUGCUGAGUGAAAACAUGAUCUCAAAAGAUUAAAUACAGUAUGAUUCCAUUUAUAUAACUUUUUUUUCUUUGAGAUAGGGUCUUGCUCUGUCGCCCAGGCUGCAGUGCAGCAGCACAGUCAUAGCUCACUGUAACCUCAAACUCCUGGGCUCAAGUGAUCCUUCUGUCUCGACCUCCCGAGUAGCUAGAAUUACAGCCACCACACCUGGCUAAUUAAAAAAUUUUUUUGUAGAGAUGUGGUCUUGCUAUGUUGCCCAGGCUGGUUUGAAACUCCUGACCACACAUGAUCCUGCUGCCUCAACCUUCCAAAGCACUGGGAUUACAGGCAUAAGUCACCAUGCCCACCCUAUAUAACAAAUUUAAAAUGACAAAAUUACAGAGAUGAAUUACAGAUUAGGGGUUGACUAGGGAGAUGAGGAGGGAAAAGCCUGUGGCUAUAAAAGCAAGGCACUGGCUGGGCACAGUGGCUCACGCCUAUAAUCCCAGCACUUUGGGAGGCCAAGGUGGGCGGAUCACCUGAGGUCGGAAGUUCGAGACCAGCCUGACCAACACGGAGAAACUCUGUCUCUACUGAAAAUACAAAAUUAGCUGGGCGUGGUGGAGCAUGCCUGUGAUCCCAGCUACUUGGGAGGCUGAGGCAAGGAGAAUCACUUGAACCUGGGAGGUGGAGGUUGUGGUGAGCCGAGAUCGCCCCAUUGCACUCCAGCCUGGGCAACAAGAGCAAAACUCUGUCUUAAAAAAAAAAAAAAAAAAAAAAAAAAAAGCAUGGCACAAAGGAUAUUUGUAAUAGAACUAUUUUAUAUCUUGACUGUGUUGAUGUUCUCAUGAAUCUACAUGUUAAUAAACUUCAUAGAUUUAAAUAUACACACACCAAACGCAUGCAUGUAAAAGUGGUAAAAUGUGAAUUUUAAUGAUUUGUAUCAAUGUCAUUUUCUUGGUUGUGAUAUUUUACUAUAGUUGUGCAAAGUGUUACCAUUGGGAAAAACAAGUGAAGGAUAUACAGGAUCUCUCUGUAUUAUUUCUCACAACUGCAUGUGAAUUUACAAUAAUCUCAAAUUUUUGUUUGUAAAACAAAAAGGAGUAUCAUAGCUCAUAAUAGAAAUUAUAUAAGGAAAAUUAUAUUACAUAAUUGAGAGAAGCAAUUCAAAAUAUUCUCUGGCAGCUGUUUUGAGGUUUUUAUAAACACAAAAUGAUACUGUAAAUAUAUAUUGAAUAUAUUAAUACUAGGAUUCCCUGAUUAAGAUAGCACAAGAACUGAGUGAGCAACUAAGUUCUGAAUAGAUGAUUAUGGCUAAUGAGGUGGGCUUCAAUAGAAGGGCAGAUAAGUACAUUACUCCAUAUACCACUGCAAAAAUGAUUCAGGCACAGAAAAUGCUCUGUAGCCUAACUUUUGUGAGGUACCCCUUCCUAAAACAUUCAUAUAUGUGAUUCAUUUAAAAUAGAAUUGCAGAAUCAUAGGUGUUUCAACAAGUAUAGGCAUGAAUGAUUCUGUAAUAAGCUAAACAAGACAAAGCUCCACCAAGAUGCUUGGAACAUGCUAGAACUGAGUUAAAACUGAAUAUGGUAUAUUUCUUAUCCCUCAUAUAACUAAAAAACAUUCAUAAAUAUAUAUAUGUAUAUAUACAUAUAUAUAUAUUUUUUAGAGACAGGGUCUCACUCUGUCACUCAGGCGGGAAUGCAAUGGCGUGAUCAUAGCUCAUUGCAGCCUCAAACUCAUGGGCUCAAGUGAUCAUCUCUCCUCAGCCUCCCAAGUAGCUAGGACAACAGGCAUGCACAACCACACCUAAUUUUUUUUUUUUAAUUUUUAUUUUGUAGAGGCAGGGUCUCACUAUGUUGCUGAGGCUUAUCGUGAAUGCCUGGCCUCAAGCAAUCCUGCCUAGGCCUCCCAAAGUGCUGGGAUUACAGGCAUAAGCCACCAUGCUCAGCCUAAAAAUGGCAUAUUCUGGUGUCUAAUAUCUAAUCUGAAGAAAUUUCAAGGUACCACUCAUAAAAUGUGUCCCCAGCAUCCUAUUAUUCCAAAGACUUCAACUUAAUUUUGUCAUAUUUACUUUCAAGGCAAAAUGGAACCCUUCUAUGUUGAUAAAAUGUUUUAUAUAUGGUAAGAUUUGAGGACUUUACAUAUUUAGAGGAAUUCUUGUUUUAGAUAUAUUAUUAGUAUGUCUUCAUCAAAAAGAUGUGAAAUCCGUUAAAGCCCCACCUCCACAGAUCUCAUUUUAAACACUAGGGUAUGCCUCCCCUUUCUCCAAAUCUUCUAGGUUUCCUGACAAGUUGUACAGUUGGCUGAUUCUAGUUUUCUGUCAUUUCUCCCUUCUUUUUUUUUUUUGGAGAUGGAGUCUCACUCUAUCGCCCAGGCUGGAGUGCAGUGGCGUGAUCUUGGCUCACUGCAACCUCCUCCUCCCCGGUUCAAGCAAUUCUCCUGUCUCAGCCUCCCGAGUAGCAAGGACUACAGGCGCACACCACCACACCCGGCUAAUUUUUUGUAUUUUAGUGGAGAUGGGGUUUCAUUGUGUUGCCCAGGCUGGUCUCGAACUCCUGACCCCAGGCAAUCCACCCACCUUGGCCUCCCAACAUUUCUCCCUUCUUUAACAUUAACAAACAGAGCUGACAUGAGAAAAAGACACAAAGUUCUUAGAACAUUGUGAACUGGAUACACAGCUAUUAAGAGUCCUUGGUAUUUCAGAUAUCUCAAGCAUUAUUAUCAGCAUGGUAACUUUAAGGUUGAUUCCAGGUAUAAUUAAAUAUCUCAUGAUAGUAAACGCACAAAGGCUUUUGAAAAGUUUAGAUUGCAUUUUGAAAUAAAUAUGAUGUGAUAUCUUUAAAUUUUUACUGUAAUACUGUGCAAAUUGUUUAGAUUUAGAAAUGAUUUUAUUGCUCCUUAAGCAUUCAUUCAAUUCUUAUUCAGGGAAUACACAGAACAUAGGUAGUAUUUGGGAAGGUACAUCUUAUUAUUACCUUGAUAUAAUUAUAUCAUAA
rnacentral:lncRNA from 1 species